rnacentral:lncRNA from 1 species
AAGACUCUUGGGACCACCCUGUGCCUUACAGGCUCACUGAGUACAGGUGCGGCAGGACAGCAGGCUCUCAGUUUUCCAGUCUGUGUAGAUCCGCAUCAGUAUCAGCCUGAGCUGCACCCUCUGGAGAUAAAUCUGCUCAGUGCGCUCCUGCGGACUGCUCUGAAGUGGCAGGACCUGCAGCAGCAGAGCAGAAAUGCUCCCCAACACCUCACUCUGCUCCCCAGCACGCUCUGCUUGGGCUCUGCCAUUUUGCAGCCAUGCAUCAUAUCUGUCUGCGGCUCACAUGUGCGUGAUCUCCAUGGCGACUUGGGCACUCGAGGUAGAAAUAUGAGCUGG